GACGAACGCUGGCGGCGUGCCUAACACAUGCAAGUCGAACGGACAUUAAUUUUUCGGAAUUGAUGUUAGUGGCGGACGGGUGAGUAACGCGUGAGCAACCUGCCUUUCAGAGGGGGAUAACGUAUGGAAACGUACGCUAAUACCGCAUGACAUAUAUUUGCCGCAUGGCAGAUAUAUCAAAGGAGCAAUCCGCUGAGAGAUGGGCUCGCGUCCGAUUAGAUAGUUGGUGGGGUAACGGCCUACCAAGUCAGCGAUCGGUAGCCGGACUGAGAGGUUGAACGGCCACAUUGGGACUGAGACACGGCCCAGACUCCUACGGGAGGCAGCAGUGGGGGAUAUUGCACAAUGGGCGAAAGCCUGAUGCAGCAACGCCGCGUGAGGGAAGACGGUUUUCGGAUUGUAAACCUCUGUCUUUGGUGACGAAACAAAUGACGGUAGCCAAGGAGGAAGCCACGGCUAACUACGUG
rnacentral:rRNA from 1 species